GUCAUUCGUUGCACCAUCCACUCUCUCCCUAUGGGAAAAUUAAACACAUCAAAUGCUUCUCUCUCCCUAUAUCUCUCUUUCUUUCUCUUUAUCUCCCUUAGCAAUUACACCUCUCCGCCAUUAAAUGCUAUUGCAUCCUCUCUAUACGCUCUGCAAUAACUCCUCGCUGCCACAUUUUCGUCCAUCUGUAUCCCUCUUUCUCCUUCCCUUUGAUUUUCUCCUUCAUCUUCAUCUUCAUCUUCUUCCUUCUUUUUUGAAAAUUUCCUUGCCUCUUUCCUUUUUCUUCUUGCCUUUCUCUUUCCCUUUUUCAUUCUCAUAUCUUCUUACCUACUUCUUACCUUAAAAGCUCUUGCCAAAGCUGCUCAGGUAACCACUUAAAACCCUCCCCUCCCCUCCCCUUCCCUCCAAGACUGUUCUUUCUCUUCCACAAGAUAGGGCUAAAGCAAGCUAGGAGGCAGCCAAGGCAAAGUUGGAUUCUGGGUGAUCUUAGUUGGGCGUUGCAUAUAAUAUUUAUAUUUAUUUGCAUUUAGAGGGUGGUUUUGCCAGAUUUUUGUCUGUCGAAGAUGGUAUAAAAGAAAUUUUGUCAACUCUAUCUUUUUAUUAUAUUCUGUGUCUAUCUCUUACAUUAGUACGUAAGAGCAAGAUAGACCUAAGAAAGAGAGAGACCCAUUUCAACGGCAGAACCGAAAACCAAAGUCAGCUGUGUCUGCCAGAGAAUCUAGGAUAACGUUACCCUCUCUAAUCUCCAUAUAAAGGAAAACUCCAAACCUACGGCCACUUUCUAGACUGAGAAGUGAGAAACUAGUGCGUUUAUCAUUUUUUAUACAGCUUAGUAGGGUUCGUGGGUUAGUGAAAUAUGCCAGCCGGAGUAAUGAUUCCGGCGAGAAACAUGCCGUCGGUGAUUGGGACAAAUGGGAGUGUUGGUGGGUUUGGAUCAUCUUCGGGGCUUACCCUUGGUCAGGUCGGUGCUUAAUUAUUCAUGACUUGUUAAUUAAUUAAUUAAUUUCUCUUUGAUCUAAAAACCUUUCAUGCUCUCAUUUGUUUGGUUAAUGUGGGUUUGGUGUUUUCAUCUUCAGUGACUUCUCAUUUCUUUGUACUUAAAACCCUUAUAUUCCGCAAAGCAGAUCUUCUCAUCUUCUCUAGUUAUACUGUUAAAGGAGCUUAAAAGGCGUAUUAUGUCGGCGAUUUAGGUCAUUAGUCAAGACUAAUUUGUCAUUUCAAGCAAAAUCCUCCUCGAUUCUUGCAAAAACGCGUCAAGCCUUUUGCUCUCUGCCACAGGACAAACUCUCGCAGACACACAGAAAGAAGAGAUAUAAAAUGCUAGUACAGCUUCAAAGCUUCAUUUCAUUUUCCAAUGAUUUCUUGACGCGAGUUUUUUCAUCUGCAAGAUCUAGAUGUUCUGUUCAUGUUAGAUAAAGAUUUCAAACUCCUAUUUCCUUGCCUAACACUUCACUAAUAAGCACACAAAUACUCUUUAUAUGUUGGGGGGUGUGUGUUUUAGCCUUUCUUUUGAGUGGAAAUUUUCUUUUCCAUUCUCUUGUUAGAUUGAAAAACCAUAAGCUUCAAGAAAUCUUAAAGAUCUGUAGAUAUGUUCCAGCCAAAUAUGAUAGACGGUCAACUUCACCAUCUGGAUAUGACUCAAAACACCUCCGAAAGCGAUUUAGCUCGAAUCAGAGAUCACGAAUUUGACAGUACUAAUACUAAAUCCGGCAGCGACAACCAUGAUGGUGCCUCCGGUGACGAUCAAGAUCCACGGCCCAAAAAGAAGCGAUAUCAUCGCCAUACUCAGCGUCAGAUCCAAGAAAUGGAAGCGUAAUCUACCUUAUUAGCUUCAUUUCUGUUUAAAUUUCACUGUACUUAGUAUUAACAAUUUCUCUUUUUCUUUUUUAAUUUCCAUUUUAGUUUCUUCAAAGAGUGUCCACACCCAGAUGACAAGCAAAGGAAGGAGCUAAGCCGUGAAUUAGGGUUAGAGCCAUUGCAGAUCAAGUUUUGGUUCCAAAACAAACGCACCCAAAUGAAGACCCAGCAUGAGCGCCAUGAAAAUUCACAGCUUCGAGCUGAGAACGACAAGCUUAGGGCUGAUAAUAUGACGUACAGAGAAGCUCUUAGCAAUGCUUCAUGUCCCAGCUGUGGAGGUCCUACUGCUAUUGGUGAGAUGUCCUUUGAUGAACAUCAAUUGAGGCUUGAAAAUGCCAGAUUAAGAGAAGAGAUUGAUCGCAUUUCAGCCAUUGCUGCCAAAUAUGUUGGUAAGCCUGUGGUGAACUAUCCUCUUCUAUCUGCGCCAAUGCCUCCGCGUCCACUCGAACUUGGGGUUGGCAAUUUCGGAGCGCAGCCAGGGAUGGGAGGGGAGAUGUAUGGAGCUGGAGACUUGCUUAGGUCUAUUGGUGCUCAUAGUGAGGCUGAUAAACCCAUGAUUAUAGAGCUUGCAGUUGCAGCCAUGGAAGAACUUGUUAGAAUGGCUCAGAUGGGUGAGCCAUUAUGGAUGAGCAGCCUCGAUGGAACAAAUGCUAUACUAAACGAAGAAGAAUACAUUAGGAUCUUCCCUCGAGGAAUCGGACCGAAACCUAUUAGUUUUAAAUGCGAGGCUUCUAGGGAAACUGCUGUUGUUAUAAUGAAUCACAUCAACCUGGUUGAAUAUCUUAUGGAUGUGAAUCAGUGGUCUACUAUUUUUUCCGGCAUUGUCUCAAGAGCGAUGACUUUGGAAGUACUAUCAACAGGAGUGGCAGGAAACUGUAAUGGAGCCUUGCAAGUGAUGACGGCCGAAUUUCAACUUCCUACUCCACUAGUUCCCACUCGAGAGAGUUACUAUGUAAGGUACUGUAAACAGCAUGCAGCAGGGACAUGGGCUGUGGUUGAUGUUUCCUUGGACAACUUACGCCCCAGUCCAGCAGCAAGCUGCAGGAGAAGGCCAUCUGGAUGCCUAAUUCAAGAAAUGCCUAAUGGGUACUCAAAGGUUACAUGGGUUGAACAUGUGGAAGUGGAUGAUAGAGGUGUUCAUAAUCUAUACAAGCAGCUAGUUAGUUCAGGCCAUGCAUUUGGGGCAAAACGUUGGGUGGCUACCCUAGAUAGGCAAUGUGAACGGCUGGCGAGUGCCAUGGCAACAAACAUUCCCUCCGGCGACAUUGGUGUGAUAACAAAUCCAGAAGGUCGAAAGAGUAUGUUGAAGCUGGCAGAAAGAAUGGCGAUAAGUUUUUUUGGUGGAGUGAGUGCAUCUACUGCUCAUACGUGGACCACACUAUCUGGAACUGGAGCUGAUGAUGUGAGGGUCACGACACGAAAGAGUGUGGAUGAUCCUGGUAGGCCUCCUGGGAUUGUGCUUAGUGCUGCAACUUCCUUCUGGCUUCCUGUUCCUCCAAAAAGGGUUUUUGAUUUUCUCCGUGAUGAGAACUCUCGAAAUGAGUGGGAUAUUCUAUCAAAUGGUGGAGUCGUCCAAGAAAUGGCACAUAUUGCUAAUGGCAGGGAUACAGGCAACUGUGUGUCCCUUCUUCGAGUAAAUAGUGCGAAUUCGAGCCAGAGCAACAUGCUGAUUUUACAAGAGAGUUGCACUGAUCAGACAGCUUCUUUUGUCAUCUAUGCACCUGUUGAUACCGUUGCAAUGAAUGUACUACUGAAUGGUGGAGAUCCAGAUUAUAUGGCCCUUCUUCCUUCAGGGUUUGCAAUUCUUCCUGAUGGAACCACCACCACACAUGGAGGAGGCAUUGGCGAAUUGGGUUCCGCAGGUGGAUCACUUCUAACUGUUGCAUUUCAGAUUUUAGUUGAUUCAGUUCCUACGGCGAAACUGUCACUUGGGUCGGUUGCAACUGUAAACAAUUUGAUCGCCUGCACUGUUGAGAGGAUUAAGGCAGCUUUAUCUUGCGAGAGCAUCUGAACUACAAAUUGAAGGUUAUAUAUUAAAGUUGUUAACUGAUUGAGAAGGCAAAAAAGAGAAGAAAGUGUAAGAAUACAGGAGACGAUUUUGGCUUAUAGAAGAUGGAAGAGAGAAGUCAAGAGCGAACCUUACAUGAUCCUUAACUUGUUGCUCAUGGUUUUAGCUUAGGGUAAGGGAAAAAGACUAAGCAUGUGAUGAGGAUUAGAGGUUCGGGUAUUGACUUCUUCAAAAACCAAUUUUUAAAGCUAAUGGGAAAUUAUGACCCACUCUAUCAUAGACCCAAUACAUAUUAUGCAUGGUGGAACCUAUAUAUUUGUGUCUUCGCUCAAUGAAUUAUAUCUACAUAAAUUUUUCCCAAAGCUUAUAACCCUAUUAGAGAACUUUUUAUACAAAGUUGAAAGGUGAAACUAUCCCCUUUUUCCAACUUCUAAUAUUAUAGCCUUUGCAGUUAGCUUGGGUUUUCCUGCAACUAGUUACCUAAUUUAUUAUGUUCUCUUUUUUCCUUCUUCAUAUUUGCUGUGUGUGUUUGAAGCUCACCACCUACAGGGGCAAAUAUUAGCUCCCCUUUUUCCCUUCUUAAGAACUUUUGGAAUAGAAUACCUUCGAUGUAUGCCUUAUCUUUGACUUUUUGGGUAAUAAAAUUAUAUGCACACUAGAAGCACUAUAAAAUAGUGCUCUCAUUACCAACA
rnacentral:misc_RNA from 1 species